rnacentral:tRNA from 2 species
CAAAACAUAGCUUAAUCAAAGCAUUCAGCUUACACCUGAAAGACGUCCAUUAAACCGGACUAUUUUGA